UCGGCUGGUCAUUCACUAUGCGCGAGGUUUCUCAGUGGUGGCAGAAGGGGGAAUGUUCUAGAGCUGAGCCGCUCUUCAGCUACCCGUUCGAAAGGCUCAGGAUGUCUGCAGGAGGAUGGCGUACGGAUCCUCUACCUGGAUUUCGGCGGGAACGAGGGUGAAAUUCAACUGGACCUGCACUCCUGUCCUAAGCCUAUUGUUUUUAUCCUCCACUCCUUCCUCUCUGCCAAGAUUGCACGAUUAGGAUUGGUAGCCUGAGAUUGAACUGUUAUAGACUGAUUAUCCCAACAAACCUGGGAAACUGGGACUCGCAAGACUGAACGAAGGCGAUGUAGCAAACCAGACCUCUGAAUGAUUUUAAUCACAUUUCAGUAAAUGACAAACAAUGUAUUUUUCAGAGAAAUCCUAAUUCUAGUGAAACACAAUUUCACAUUGAUUUUUUUAAGAAAGAAUGCAACUAUAUGAUGAACACUAACCUGUGAUUGGAGCUAAAAAUAUAUACUGGAAGUAUUGCUUUAGAGUCCAAUACGGCACUUACAAUAUUAACUCCUUUAUAACGUUGAGAGGGAAAUGUCCAUCUGUAUGACAGCUGUCCUGACUAACUGCAUCUGUCUGGCAGCUAAUGUGGAUUAAAAAAAGACUAGUUUAAUGCACAUAAAAGUUAAACAGCCUGAAAACAGUCACAGUGUUUUGUCUAAACUGCUUUCUGGAAUAGUUGUUUCACCAAGGACAGUCUAUAGCAGGGGGUUUCAACCUGUGGUGUACAUUGGAGUAAUUAUCAGACCCCCUAGUUUUCCGCGAUUUUGCGAUCUCUGAAUCCAACACAAAAUCAACAAAAAGACGUUUUUUUUGCAAUCCUGCAAAAUUAUUAAUUUAAAUGCAAAAGAAUCUCGAAAAAAAUGUUAAUAAUCUCAUAAAACAUCCAAUUCCAAACCAUAUAAUCUAAUUAUAUUUAUUACUUGAAAGUGAAGGGAAGUUGUUUUGCAGCCUAUACGGUAAGCAGAUGCGUCAAGUGCAAGUAAUUUACAUGUGAAGUCAUAGCAAAGAUGCGAUUAGACAUCCUGUGGCACAAAUCGAGUGAAUGACAUGGCGUGAAUUAGGUGUUUCGUGCAUUUGAUGCACUUCAGACUGCAAAAGAAAGUGGAAGCAAACAUCUAACAAACGGAGCAAUGGAAGAGACAGAAUGCAGCUUACAAUAAUGGAGAUUGGUUUAAGGAUGACGUUUGCUGGAUGUGACUGAUUUGAAGGACAUUAUUUGUGCUUUACAUGUAUGACAGGUAUUAUGAUGGCCAUCAAAUCGAUAAAUGAUUUUAUUUAACUUUUUCCUUGCCAUUGACGAGAGAAAACACUUCCCUGCCAUUGACGAGUUUUACGGCAAUCGGUGUUUUUGGUGUAUUACGGUAGGGGAAUCCCUAACACAUGUCCUACAGUAUGUGUGAGAUACGUUAUGUCAGAUGCUCCGGGAAGUGAAAUCUGAGAAAGAGAAAGUAAGAUCGUGGGUAAAAAUUUGUUAUACAACCUUCCUUUGGCUUAAUCCCUACUGUUUUUUUAUCUGCUUUAGAUCUCGUCUUGGCAAGAGACCAAAAUAAAGGAGCUUUACUUUUA